rnacentral:rRNA from 1 species
GGACUACACGGGUAUCUAAUCCUGUUUGCUCCCCACGCUGUCGCGCAUCAGUGUCAGCAGUAGCCCAGCAGGCCGCCUUCGCCACCGGUGUUCUUCCGGAUCUCUACGCAUUCCACCGCUACACCCGGAAUUCCACCUGCCUCUACUACGCUCGAGCCAAGCAGUACGCACGGCCGACCCGGGGUUGAGCCCCGGGCUUUCACCGCACGCUUACUCGGCCACCUACGCGCCCUUUACGCCCAGUGAUUCCGGACAACGCUUGCACCCUCUGUAUUACCGCGGCUGCUGGCAC